UACGUAGGUGGCAAGCGUUGUCCGGAAUUAUUGGGCGUAAAGCGCGCGCAGGCGGUUCCUUAAGUCUGAUGUGAAAGCCCCCGGCUCAACCGGGGAGGGUCAUUGGAAACUGGGGAACUUGAGUACUGAAGAGGAAAGCGGAAUUCCACGUGUAGCGGUGAAAUGCGUAGAGAUGUGGAGGAACACCAGUGGCGAAGGCGGCUUUCUGGUCAGUAACUGGCGCUGAGGCGCGAAAGCGUGGGGAGCAAACAGG
rnacentral:rRNA from 1 species